CGGGGCGGGCCUAAGCAGGCUUCCUUAUAGGGCGUGGCCUUCCAUUGGACCCCGUCGGUGGGUCUUAGUGCGUUCUCGGGACCUUCCCUUAAUUCCACUUUUCUGUGCUACGACUCAUCUGUGUGUCUUUGGCCACAUCGGUUCAGGAAAAGAUGGAUUGUCCUCCUACGAUGCUCCAUGUCCGUUUCUCGGCCCGCUAGAUGGCACUGUGGCUGUAGCAAAGCCAUUCCCACAAUUGGGGUGCCAUCUUCCGGAGGAGUUCCUUCUUGAAUAUCACCACCUAUGGGAGCCUUUCAACUGGGAGGCUGUCUAAGGCACCCCAGGAACCUGUCUUUCUUUCUCUGAAUGGUCGGUCUCCUUCCUCCACUUCUCCAGUGUCUUUCAGUUUCAUUUUCAUUUUCGAAUUCUGAUGGCAUUGUUUCAAACAUUACUACCUCUUUGCAUUGUGCAAUCCAACUAUGUAGUUCAAAAACAAAGAAUGUCUAAAAUAUGUGACAGUUUUGGGUACAUUUCUACCCACGCGU
rnacentral:lncRNA from 1 species